ACGCUCGACACCUACUGGAGGCAGCAGUGGGGAAUAUUGCACAAUGGGGGAAACCCUGAUGCAGCGACGCCGCGUGAGUGAAGAAGUAUUUCGGUAUGUAAAGCUCUAUCAGCAGGGAAGAAGAUGACGGUACCUGAGUAAGAAGCCCCGGCUAACUACGUGCCANAGCCGCGGUAAUCUGAGCGGGCGUGGCAAGGC
rnacentral:rRNA from 1 species